rnacentral:rRNA from 1 species
GAAUCCCGUAUAUGGCACGGACUCCCGUUACUUCUGUGAUACACUCUCAACGAGUCGAGUUGUUUGGGAAUGCAGCUCCAAAUGGGUGGUAAAUGCCAUCUAAAGCUAAAUAUUGGCGAGAGACCGAUAGCGAACAAGUACCGUGAGGGAAAGAUGAAAAGCACUUUGGAAAGAGAGUGAAACAGUACGUGAAAUUGUUGAAAGGGAAACGCUUGAAGUCAGUCACGCCCUUUGGGAUUCAGCCUUGCUUCUGCUUGGUUUACUUCCCUUUGGGUGGGUCAACAUCAGUUUUGGUCGGAGGAGAAAGGCUUGGGGAAGGUAGCAACAUUCGUGUUGUGUUAUAGCCCCUCGUUGUAUACUUCGACUGGGACUGAGGACCGCAGCACGCCUCUGGCCGGGGUUCGCCCACGUACGUGCUUAGGAUGUUGGCAUAAUGGCUUUAAGCGACCCGUCUUGAAACACGGACCAAGGAGUCUAACAUGUGCGCGAGUGUUUGGGUGUUAAACUCGGACGCGAAAUGAAAGUGAAAAGUUGGGAACACUUAUGUGUGCACCAACGCCCGGAGCUGGCCUUCUGUGACGCAUCUGCGGUAGAGCGUAUAUGUUGGGACCCGAAAGAUGGUGAACUAUGCCUGAAUAGGGUGAAGCCAGAGGAAACUCUGGUGGAGGCUCGUAGCGAUUCUGACGUGCAAAUCGAUCGUCAAAUUUGGGUAUAGGGGCGAAAGACUAAUCGAACCAUCUAGUAGCUGGUUCCUGCC